UUGGCAGAGAGCCGAAAAGGGCGUAUUCUCAGUUCUGAGUUCUUUUCUGGCUUAUCCUGGGACACCUAUGAGUCCUGGGGCUUCACACGGCAUCUUUAAGUGAACAGUGCGCAUGCGCCGCCUUUCUCUUUUCCGGCUGGAACCAUGGAGGGUGCAGAAGAGAAGAAGAAGAAGAAGGUUCCUGCGGUGCCAGAAACCCUCAAGAAGAAGCGAAGGAACUUCGCGGAGCUGAAGAUCAAGCGCCUGAGGAAGAAGUUUGCCCAAAA